rnacentral:rRNA from 1 species
UACGUAGGGCGCAAGCGUUGUCCGGAAUUAUUGGGCGUAAAGAGCUCGUAGGCGGUUCGAUAAGUCGGACGUGAAAUCUCCACGCUCAACGUGGAGGGGCCGUUCGAUACUGUCGUGACUCGAGUCCGGUAGGGGAGUGUGGAAUUCCCGGUGUAGCGGUGAAAUGCGCAGAGAUCGGGAGGAACACCCGUAGCGAAGGCGGCACUCUGGGCCGGUACUGACGCUGAGGAGCGAAAGCGUGGGGAGCAAACAGG